GUGGUGGUGAGGGAGGUGUCAGGGACAUCUGUCACUGGUGCCCCUCCUCCUGGGGUUUUCAGGAGUAGGCCCAGGGCUGGUACCCCCUCACGAUGGCCCCACACCCAGUCACAGCCAGUGGAGACCACAGUAGAGGGGAGGGGACUCCUCUGGGCUUGGUCCUCAUUGGUCACUACCUGUGGCCCAGGUGCCCUGGGUACUUGGGCCUCAGGAGAGGACCGCUUUGGCCACCACGUCCACCGCACUGCCACAGCUCCCCUCACUGUCCUCACCCCCCUCCUCAGUUUCCUCUUGAUGGUCAGCUGGCCCGCCCCCUCCUUUCUUGCAGAAGAGGAAACACAACACAGCCCUGUGACUCUUCAGGGCUCCCAGUUUUCUCUGUCUCCGCCAGGCUGGUGGGGCUUGCUGCUGGGCCCAUUGGGGUGAGAUGUGUGGGCCCCACAGCCUUCUUCCUGCCUGCCCCGGGCUCUGAGGCUCAGGGACCUGGAGACCCCUCUUUUCUAUCCGCCUCUAACAGGAUGAGUUGAGCAUGGAGGUUUCUAGACUGGGCCUCCUGGCAGUGUCUCUUCCCAGCCCCAGGGUGCUAUUGAAGGGAUGCGAGGCAAGGAGAAGGAUUCGAGCCAGGAGCCCCGAGGAGGGAGCUGCUUGAGGGACCUAUUGCUUGCAGCCCUGGGGAAGCUUUCAGGUCAUCUGGUAAUGGCAGAAGCACACAGCCAAGACGUGUGUGGAGAAGCUGCGGUUAUGUUUCCUGCCACGGCUCCCCACCUCCGGAACAUCUGUGCAAUUUACUAUCAACCACGCUGUCACCCAUGCCCCUUUGAUCUGGAGCUUCAGCCACACGAGGGCUAGGUCUGCAUCUGCCUUACCCUCUGCUACGUCCCAGGGCCUGGCACCUCUAGGACCUCAAUACUAAUCUGCUGAAUGAAUGAAUGAAUGAAUGGGCUCUUGGGGAAGCACCUUUGGGAUCAGCAGCUGCCCAGGACCCUGGGAACACUGGGCAGACCCCGGGCGGGGAGUUGGGUUCUGUUCCCAAUGAGCAAGUGGCUCAUAUCUUUGUUUCAUCCAUCAGAAACCAAGCCUGUGCCAAGCACGGUGACAGGUCUACAUGGGCCCAUUAAAGCCUAAGGAAGAAGGAAGUACUUUGUGGCAAUUCAGCCGAAGCAAGGAGAAAAUUCAGAAAGAUUGUGAUUCCCCUUUGCAGUUUUUGCCAAUUUCGUUUCUUUUGGUAGUGAGCUUAUGGUCUUUAUUUCACUAUUUCUGGGGAUUUUCUUCAUGGCUGUACUCAUGGGUUUGUGUGUGUGUGUGUGUGUGUGUGUGUGUGUGUGUGAGAGAGAGAGAGAGAGAGAGAGAGAGAGACGGAGUCUUGCUUUGUCACCCAGGCUGGAG
rnacentral:lncRNA from 10 species